UAACGGAACAACAUCUGUUUUUAUGAGUUAGCUUAAUGUUUCCAUCCUUCCACUUUGCUACGCUCUCGAACAUCCCACACACCACGCAAGAAUGAACUGUUUUGGGGAAAAUAUCCUUUGACACCACACCCACGUCCUCGUUUAUAAACUAAUGGAUGUCAGUCCCGCCAAAGUGCAGAGCGAUGCCAGUGAAGUGGGCAGGCCCGUUCAUCCGGGGGGUUUCCUAGCGGGCGAGGCCGGGAAAAGCGACCACCUCAAAGCGGGACGCAUCGUGGACUUCCCGGUGUCUGUGGUUCUACCUGCCGGCGGGACCGGAGAGAGAACCGGACUACAGACACCAAAACAGUUCUGUUCCUUUCUGGGAAGACCGCUUAUAAGCUUCACUAUCCAGACUUUUGAGAGGGUGUCAUGGAUCCAAAACAUUGUGGUUGUUGUUGCCAAAGAAAACAUGGACAUGAUGAUGGACAUCAUCCAGCGAUUCCAGCACAAGAAGGUUCAAGUUAUUCCAGGCGGCUCGACUCGCCACAGGUCAAUAUGCAACGGAGUCAUGGCUCUCGGCGAGGAGGAGAGGUCGGCGGAUGACAAACCAAAGGUGGUCAUCGUACAUGAUGCGGUGCGCCCAUUUGUGGAGGAGGACUUUCUGCACAAAAUAGCAGUGGCUGCCAAAGAGCAAGGGGCAGCUGGAGCCACUCGACCACUCGUUUCCACCGUAAUAGCCACAACAUCCGAGGGCUACCUGGACCAUUCUUUGGAGCGUGCCAAGUACAGGGCCAGCGAGAUGCCUCAGGGUUUUACAUAUGAUGUCAUCUAUCAGGCCUAUCAGAGGUGCACUGAGUCAGACUUGGAGUUUGGGACUGAGUGUCUCCAUUUGGCUCUGCAGUACUGUGGCACCAACGCAAAGCUUAUUGAAGGUCCGCCCACGCUGUGGAAGGUGACCUAUAAACGAGAUCUGGCUGCUGCAGAGUCUAUUAUUAAAGAGAUGUUGUCACAGUCAACUUGCCUUCUCACAGGAGAGUCCACGCCUGGUGUCAGAUCAGCUGAUGUCUUCCAGAAAGCCUUUGGAGCUCUGGAUAUGAAGCUGGACGUCAUCCCAGAUCUGAUGGGAGACAACGCCAGGUACCUGCUCAAAGCUUGGAACUUCAUCCAGGUUUCUUUCCAUUCUUCCUGCCUGUCUGAGGUGGAAGACAUACUUGUGGCUUUGGAUGCAACAAAUCAAGCUCUUCUCCACCCCCCCGUCGUCAUUUGGGUGCAUUUAAAGAGAACUGAUGAAAAGUCCAUGGCGUUGGCUGAGUCUGCUACAAUUAUGAACCUGGCCUCCACCGCCAAGCUUCGAAACAUCCUCCUCUAUGGUAUCGAGGUUCAUGGGUCUGAGGAACUCCUGAAUCAAAUCAGAUGAAAAUGACUCAGAGACAUUUCUGAGCUCAGAUGAAGAAACAUGAUGAUGAAAUCUGUGAGAACAUGAACCUGCAGCAGUGUUUCAUACCUGCUCCUCUCUGCUGUCGAUCUUCACCAGGUCUGCUCCCAGAUCCUCACAGAAACUUCUGCUCUCUUUCCAGGAUAAGCUAAUGUUACUGAAAUAAUAACACUUGUCUCCAUGUUUCUCCCAGUUUCUGUCCAACUUCAGACAAAAGUGAUCUUAGAACAGAUGAGAACAAAGACUGGAUUCAUCCAGGAGGAAGAAAUCUCUGUAGAUGUUUGUGUGAUUAGGAGGCAGCAGGAGGCGUCUUCUGUCCUGCAGUUACCAUCUAACUUCCUGUUCCUGUGGCUCCAUCAAUGUUUCUUUAACAUCAUUACAGGACAGAAAGGACACCGAUCAUUGGGAGAGGUCAGCACCCAAAGUCGCUGAGAUGGCAUCAGCCUUGAUCCGGGACAGGAACCCUGCCUUGGUGGGACAGCUUCUACAGGCGUGAAGGGAUAAACUCAUCAGAGCUGCGUUUGGGAAUUUCUUUGACCUCUCAUGAAGAGUAAAGGGGUAUUUCUAUUGUAUGAUGUUUGUGGGGAAGCUUGUGUCAUCAAGGAUAUAACAUCAAAUUAGUGGUUUUUCAUCAAUAUUCGAUUAAAAGAUGAUAAUUUCUGCAUAGAGUUUAGAUACUUUGAGCAGAUCACUUUAGGUGGUCGCACCAGGAGAUGCUCAUUGUUCUGGAGCAAAAGGAUGACAUUACAUUGGUUUGCUGCUUCAGAUGAUGUUUACAUGGACUGUUUUCAGCAGCUGAUUAAUCCCCAAUUUCAUGUGUUAGUAUUUACAGCUCAGAAUCAGCUGCAGUGUGUGUGUGUGUGUGUGUGUGUGUGUGUGUGUGUGUGCGUGCGUGCGUGCGUGCGUGCGUGCGUGUGUGUGUGUGUGUGUGUGCACGCUGUAGUAAAGGGACUUGUCAUCACUCGAUGCAGCAGCAUCUCUCAUGUGUUUCUGAUCUGCUCUGGAUACCAACAGAGCUGUGUGGUACUGACAUGUCGAGCUUUGGCAGAACAGCCAACACAUUCUUGUUUUUAUUUUUUUAUUUUAUUUAUUCUUUAAUCUGGAAUCACUUGAAGUGCAGUGGAUCUACAGUACAUCACAGGUUUGCAUCAACCACCCACACAACAAUUAAGGAGGAAUUUGAUUAAAUGCGUGUCAGAUGCGUUGAUUUACCAGCUGAUGGAGCUGUGCAGGAAUGCAACAUAUGCAACAACACAGUUGAAACUGGUUUUUCUUGAUUUUCUCAGAGUUUAGGAAACGUUUAUUUGUUUUGGUGAUCCUGGGCGCUUCACCUGCCCCAUGACGUUUACUUACUAGAGUUUAGGCAUGCACAUAAAUACAGGAAAUACAAACUUGAAGACUUGUGGUGUUCCAGCUCCUCUGCUCCAUUAAAUAUCCCUUCACUUACCUAAUUUACUUCAUAAAGAUCAGUAGAAAAAAUCAGGAAAAAUAUUUAAAUCUGGGGAUAAUAAAUAUGAAAUUAUAAUAGUUAAAACAUAUUUAGCAUGUUUUUUUUACCUUAAAAUAGAAAUGUUAGUUUUCUUAUUAAAAUAUUUAUUAUAUUUGUAUUUUAUUAGAUUGAUUUAGAUUUUUUUGUGUCCUUUAAUUUUGCAAUCCUUUUAACCAUUAAGACCAUUAAACUAAUAUGUUUGUAAUGUUGGCUGGCAGUUUAUUGCUUUAUGUUCUCUCCUGUGUCUAGUGUGUGCUAGCUCAGCUUUCUUACACUUUCUCAGGUUAUUUUCCUUUUUUAGCACCUCUCGUUCAUCUGCACUGUUCAGACGUGUUGGUAUUUCCCUGAAACACCUAAAAUUCUUCGUGGAUUUUGUCUCAUUUUCUGCCUCUUUACUUUGUUCUUCUUUAAAUCCCAAUUAAGAUGGAACAACAUUGCUCAUAUUUACAUUAAUCACCCAAAAUAUUAGAACCAGCUGCCAAAGGAGGCCUUCUGAAUGCUGCCAACACACCUAGGAUCCAUGGAGCCAUGCAUCUCAUAAGACCUCCGUAAGGUACUUUGUGGAAUGAGGCCUCUGUGGUUUAGACCUGUUAUUCUAACACAUACCUCAGGUACGUGAUCAGAGUGAGAUCUGGAGACUGAGGCCAAAGCUGCUUCUGGUGUUGUUCCUCAAAAUACUACAAGGACCUUUUUUUAGUGUAACAUAGAACAUAAUCUGGUCGAUAAAAAGUACUUUUCACAUGUUCUACCAAAAGUGCACCAGUGAAAGCCAUCAAUGGGAUGUUUUGGAACAGAUUGCUUUUAAAGGGGACAUAUUAUGACUUGUUUUAAGUUAUGAUACUUCUGUGAUCGAUACAAAACAUGUUCAUGAAGUUUUUGUUUUUACAAUAAAUCCCUCUCAAAAAGUGAUUUCAGCAGUUUUAGUCUUGACAUUUUCAGUACCUUCCAAAAUAAGCCAUUUCAGGGCUCUGUCACUUAAGAAAACAAGUUGGCCACGCUCACCCAUCCCCCACUCAGGCUGCUAUAAGCUGAGAAGCUCUGAAUAUCAGAAGGGGCUCAGAGUAGAGAUGCUGCUCCUUCAGCAGCAGCUCUCUUGCACAUGAGAGGCGGUGCUAUUCUACUUUACACAUUUGUGACAUCACAAACAGGGAUUUUUUUGAAACAUCUUGUUUUAGGCACAUAAUUCCUAAAACCAAAACUGACAAAGGGGAUGGAUUUUUUUUUUUAUGUUUGGAGUAUUUAUAGAGACAGUAGAGACCCAUCUUGUAGCAAAGACAUGCAAAAGGUGAAUUUUGCAUUUGUCUCCUUUAAUGCUAAUUUAUAAACCUGUCAUCUCAAAGUUUUUCCUCUAGCUGUCCUUCCAGGUAAGGAAACUCAUGUGCAGCAGUUUGUCAUUGGUGCAUCAAGUAUUUCAUCUUUAAAAUAACAUUAGGAACAUUUCAUGACAACUUUUGAAAAGCAUCUUUCUGUUUCCUGGUUUACCCGGUGAUCCCUGAGUCCAGUCUCUGUCUCACAAAGUAACCUUUAGCCUUGAGUGUCUUUGACUGACACCACCCUCUGAAGACAGUCCAAAAUAUAUAAUCAUGUUGUGUGGUGUAGAAUUUUAGUAAGUCGGUGAGUUUAAAUGUAUUUAAUUUUCUGAACAAAAUGUAUCCUGAUGCACAUUAUUCUGCUUUAGUUAUUGUCUACAAUAUAAAUAUGGACUUUCUUUGCAUUUAUCUCUGCAUUAGAAGAAUGCUUUCCUUCACCAGACAAGCAGAUUGUAUUUCAAGUGCUUUUGCCCCCCCUCCAGGUGUUACAACAAAUUUAUCUGCCUCAUGCCUUUCCCAGUUAUCUACAUAAAAGUAUCAUCUGCAAAGAGGAGGUAUUUCCAUAUGUUGGUUACCUUAUGUCUUAUGUCAUUUAUUUAAAGUGUAAAUAAUUUGAGCCCCAACAUUAAACCUUGUGGAACUCCGCACUAAAAGAAAACAUCUAAUCAGAACUUGUGUUUGGAGAAGUUUUACAAGGUUAAAUAUUAGCUCCUUGACAGAAAUUCACCAAUUCAUUUGUUUCCCCAUCAAGAUAGAGGAUACAAUGUUCACAGUACGUUAUUGUUGCUAAUACAACACUUCACAAGUGGCUUUAGCUUAAACUUUACAAAGUGAGAUUUGUUGCAGAAGUUGAAACUACUUUGGUGUGAAAUAUAAGUCUAUAACUAAUAGGCCCAAUCCCAAUACUCACACUGCGCCCUACGGUCUUCUGUGAAGUGCACUUAGAGGAAGUGUGCAGCAAGGUUUCAAGUGCAUGUUACACAAAUGUGCAAAUAAUCACUGAAUUGGGACAGGGAGCAUUGCGUCAUUGACUGCAAUGCAUGCUGAGAUGCUGGUCGCUGUGCAACUUUAAAAAAAAUAACUAUCAACAACGUUCAAAUAAACAACCAAACAAUUAUUUGAAUUAAAUUUACAUUCAUUGCUGCUUUGUAUAAAACAUUCUGAGCAUCAACUAAUCAUCCUAAAUAAACUACUUUCAUUUGAAAAUACAAAUUUUCACAAGAGUCACUUGAGCCUUUUUUCUCGCAGCAAUGGAUUGUGGGUAAUACCCUUCACGCAAGUCUGCAUUGAUGCAAGCUUGGGUGAAGUGCGGAUCAAGGGUGCAAAAGGGGCAUGAGCGACUUCCGCACUUGAGAAUCGGGACACUCUACCACUCGCAACCUUGGCCGGGAUGUGUGGAAGUGCGAGUAUGAGGAUGGGGCCGUAAACUGAGUAGCACACUGUCUUUAACAUGUUCUUAAGGAGAAAAAAAAGUUAAGUUCAUGUGAUUGCAGCUGUUCACUGGCCCACCUACAAAAAUAAAUAAAUAAAUAAACAAGAAGAAGAAGAAGAGCAGCUUUGGAUUUUAAAAGCAUUGAUGCCAGAACAUUCCAGAGAUUGACACAAAAGCCUUGUCUUCUCACACUUCCAGGCCGUCUCCAGUUUCUUGAAUGUCCCGGUUCCUCAGUGUGUUGGAAUUCCAGCUGAUGAUGGAGCUGAGCCUGAGGCGAGAGAGAGGCACCGUCCUCACGUUCAGAUUCUCCUGAUGAAGUCUUAAAUGUGCACUUGUGUACCGGAUGGAGGUGGUUACCCACGGUUACAGGUGAUGAUGGCUGAAAGCUGCAGAUUGAGUCAAACUUAACAUCUCUGCACAACGUUGUGAUGAUUGUCUGCUUUUCUAAACACUCAUUAUGAAUUCAUGCUUUUGUUAACAUUUCCUACGAAUUUUUUUUCUUUUCAUACCAGGAAUUAUUUGGAGUUACCUGAAAAAAAUUUUUGGUAAUUUAUUUUCUAUUUCAGCUGAGUCAGAUAUUUGGUCCCCAGUAUGUAUCUGCAUUUUAUUAUUACGCUUGUAGUGAACCCAUCAUUUUUAGCUGUCUGCUAUCUGAAACUCAAAAAUGCCCAAAUUGUUUUUAAUUUUAUUUAAUGCAAAACAUGCAGAUGUUUUUCUCAUCAGAAUGAAAGUAAAGAUUAUUGUUUCAGCAGCAUUUCUUUUGCAAAUUGUUCACAAUUUGCUGUUGCAGAAGUUGUUGUUUAAGCUUUUUUCGCCUUUAAACUUAAAAAUUUAGAGAUUCGGAGAUUAAUAUUUACAUCCAAACAGAAAAAAACUACACAAAAAGCCCAUUUCAAAAUAAAUCCUGAACCUUACUGAAGGAAAAGGAUGUAAAAAAAAAAAAAAAAAAAAACAAAACCAAAACAUAUAGUUUAUUUGUAUCUGGUGACACCUGCUGGAGAAACAUGUUUUGUUUUAUUCUGCUUCAUCCUAACUGUUCAUUAUUCAUUUAUUUCUGUCCAAACAGGAAUUUUUUACACGGAACAUAGUAAGUUUUGGCAGUAAUGACUUCAGAUCCAAAGAAUGAAACAUGUAUUUUUCCUAGACUGUGUUUUAAAACAUUUUUUAUAAAAUGUAAAAUGAGUUUAGUCUGACUGUCUGCAGGUCUGCCACUGCAAAAAUGGAUUUUCAAGAAAAUAAAGUCUUGUUUUUAGACAGUACAACUUUAAAUAACGUAAAUAUUUUCCAGUACGAAAAGAUGUUCAUGUUUUGAGUAGGAAAAAAUCUGCUAAUGGGGUACGCAAACAUGAUUUGGCUAGAAUUCUUAAAACUAGCAAAAUUAUCUGUUAGAUGAGUUUGCUACUUACUCGUUUGCAUUAUUUUUGGUCUUCAUUGAUAAUGAUUAUACUGCAUUAAUAAUAUGCAUUACUACAAAAUAAAAGCAUAAAUUUCUUUCCUCACAGUGUAUUCAACAAAUAAUUCAAUGGAAACAAAAAAUUCCACUGUCUAUCAUUUAUGAGAUGUUACACGUCCAAUUCAGUGUCUUUAAAACUUUAGAGUUGUUAAUUUUAAACAUCUGAUUGUACUGCUUUAACUAUGUUGCUGUAGGUAGAAACAGCAGAA